rnacentral:piRNA from 1 species
UAGUUGAUUCUGAGGGCUGCGUUCUCCUG